rnacentral:rRNA from 1 species
UACGAAGGGUGCAAGCGUUACUCGGAAUUACUGGGCGUAAAGGGCGCGUAGGUGGUUGUUUAAGUCUGCUGUGAAAGCCCCGGGCUCAACCUGGGAAUGGCAGUGGAUACUGGACAGCUAGAGUGCGGUAGAGGGUAGUGGAAUUCCCGGUGUAGCAGUGAAAUGCGUAGAGAUCAGCAGGAACACCCGUGGCGAAGGCGGCUUCCUGGGCCGCGCCUGACGCUGAGACGCGAAAGCGUGGGGAGCGAACGGG